GACGAACGCUGGCGGCGUGCUUAACACAUGCAAGUCGAACGGAAAGGCCCUGCUUGCAGGGUGCUCGAGUGGCGAACGGGUGAGUAACACGUGGGUGAUCUGCCCCUUACUUUGGGAUAAGCCUGGGAAACUGGGUCUAAUACUGGCUAGGACCAUGCUGUAGGUGGUGUGGUGGAAAGAUUAGUUUCGGUAAGGGAUGAGCUCGCGGCCUAUCAGCUUGUUGGUGGGGUAAUGGCCUACCAAGGCGUCGACGGGUAGCCGGCCUGAGUGGGUGGGCGGCCACAUUGGGACUGAGAUACGGCCCAGACUCCUACGGGAGGCAGCAGUGGGGAAUAUUGCACAAUGGGCGCAAGCCUGAUGCAGCGACGCCGCGUGGGGGAUGACGGCCUUCGGGUUGUAAACUCCUUUCAGCCAUGACGAAGCCCUUGUGGUGACGGUAGUGGUAGAAGAAGCACCGGCUAACUACGUG
rnacentral:rRNA from 1 species